rnacentral:rRNA from 1 species
UGGGGAAUAUUGGACAAUGGGGGCAACCCUGAUCCAGCAAUGCCGCGUGUGUGAAGAAGGUCUUCGGAUUGUAAAGCACUUUCGACGGGGACGAUGAUGACGGUACCCGUAGAAGAAGCCCCGGCUAACUUCGUGCCAGCAGCCGCGGUAAUACGAAGGGGGCUAGCGUUGCUCGGAAUGACUGGGCGUAAAGGGCGUGUAGGCGGUUUACACAGUCAGAUGUGAAAUCCCCGGGCUUAACCUGGGAGCUGCAUUUGAUACGUGUAGACUAGAGUGUGAGAGAGGGUUGUGGAAUUCCCAGUGUAGAGGUGAAAUUCGUAGAUAUUGGGAAGAACACCGGUGGCGAAGGCGGCAACCUGGCUCAUGACUGACGCUGAGGCGCGAAAGCGUGGGGAGCAAACAGGAUUAGAUACCCUGGUAGUCCACGCUGUAAAACGAUGUGUGCUAGAUGUUGGGUAACUUUGUUAUUCAGUGUCGCAGUUAACGCGUUAAGCACACCGCCUGGGGGAGUAC